rnacentral:tRNA from 1 species
CUUUAGGUGACUGAAUUAAAGUGUUAGAUUUUUAAUCUGAAAAUAGCGAAGUAAUGAGCUCCUAAGGG